GGGGAGGGGCAGUGUGCUCUAAAUCCGCCUUUAUGUGCAACACGAACCUCCAAAAUACAUGGGUGAACUCAAGUAUUGUGAAUGAUAAAGUUAGGAACUUUCUGCUCAACAUGUGGCAACCUAGGUUUGAGUAUACAUGUAAUUGCCAAAUUAAGUAAGUAAAACUUUGAUUUGAUUCGCCAUAUUGGCAAACAUGUGAAGAUAAGAUCUGGUGAGCUUUUCGUCGAAUAUCAUGAGGAGAUAGUGUUAAAAAUAUUUGCAUAGUUCAUGAGUUGAAAAUUAUAAAACAAAAUAUAUUGUUUAACCUUGGACAAAAAGAUCAAGUCCAAAACUGGCUGUUAUUUGUGUAGGCUACCUUAAUCUUGAAGAGUAUGCAAUUCUAAAUCAAGGAGGCGGUAGGCAAUUUCCUAAUAAUAUUACAAAAGAACUUGUCACAGAUUCUUAACUAAACGUCUAUCAGAUUAGUAAAAUUUCUAAUUUACUGACAUCUGUUGGACAUAGAUACUCAAAUUGCAGAAUCUUAUUAGUAAUAAAAAAAAAUCUGUGUUUUCUGUGACAUCAUUUUGAAAAAUAUAUGUUUAUAUUUUAUUUAUUACACUCUAACUGUCUAACAUUUAAUUCUCCUCUGAUUAGAGUAAUUAUCGUUUGUCAAUUUUCCAAACUUCCCAUGCCCCCCUCAGCAGAGUUAUUCAAUUCUGAAUGGAACAAAAUGUGAAUGAGUUAUAAAUAAUAUAUAAAUGAUUGAAUAUUCUUUAUUUAGUUUUUCUUUAUUCUCAAUUCUUCCAGAGACAUGUAUAUGCUCUGAGAAUAAUGUCUUUGCAUGAUUCUUCAUAAUUAAGUAUACUCAAUUAUUCUCUAUGAUCCUUCUUUCUAUAUUUUUGCUUUUCAACUAUCUAUAUAUUUUUUUUGUGUCCUUAUUUAAAUCCCCAUUCUUGAUUCCAGACUAACUCUCAUAUAUAUACGUAAAUUUACGAAAGCUUGGCACGUCGAAUACGGAAACCCGGAAAUCUUUUCACCGUUGCCGUUUUUAUACUAUGACGCAAAAUCCAUGGACGCUCGUCUGCUGCUGAAUUCAUGUUUUACUGUUUAAAAAGAAUGGACAAAGAUAGUCAGAUAGUUGAUACAAAGACCUUUGAUUUUUCAAACUGAUGGAUCAAAAAGUUAUUAUAAACAGAUAUAUUGAAAUGGCUUUUUCAACGAAAGUACAAUUACUUUGAGAAGUAGGAGAAGCUAAGCAACAGGACAGAAUUCAUUUGAGGCAUUGCUUUCUAGAUUAUAUAGUGGAGUCAUAGAUUGUCCUAUUGAUAAUGAUUUAUGUGCAUAUGAGGAGCAGUAGUCAAUGAAUAAUUUUGUGAUGAGAGCUGUACAUUGUAUUACAACAAAUGGACAGAGGAGUUGACUAUUGAUAGUGACUGAUAAUGGACUGGAGUAACCUAGGGUCCAAUGACUCCAUGCCUGACAGUCCAUGUGUACAUAAUUAUCUCCUCAGAUGUAAGUGGAAGGGAAGCUAUAUACAUUAUAUGUUUAAAUGAAAUUAACAACAGGAUUAGAUAUUGAGGAGAUCCUAUAGCUACAGUAUAUAUAAAUGUAACUGCAACUGUAUUCCAAGAGUCUGAUGGCUGAUAAUGUAUUACAGGAUUUUAUCAUUCAAGCAACAUCUUAGAAGGAUAAGUGCAAAUGUAUGAAGGAAGCCUUGGGUACAAAUAGCAAUUACAGCAAUUACAUGCAGGAGAGAACUCUUAACAUUACUAACAGACAUGUAGUCAUUAUAUGGGAGUGGUGUAUUCAAGAAAUCUAAAACACAUGGAAUUAAAUAUCGUGUAUAUUUUUUCAACCACAAGUACUCUCAGAAUAUAAUACAAUUCAAAUUCAAAUUAUUGUGCCAACAUGACAAUUACAGUCUAAAAAUGGAAAAUGCAUGUUUUAAACUGAUUUUUAUAUAAAUAUUUGAAAUAACAAGAA